UCAUCGGUUAUGCUCUCUCUUGUCCAGAACACUCUUAUAAUUAAGUCCAUAACUCCUUAAUUACCCUAUGCUUAUUUCAAUAAGUUUUCCUUUAUUUUAUUUUCGACUACAACAGAAGCGGAGGAUGGCGGCAGUAAAUUGGCAGCCGUUCACAUAACUGCUGCAAAUUGGCAAGUUAGUUGCGGUUGUGGUAGCAAUCUAAUGAACACUGGAAAUCAAUUUCAUAAGAGCUUCAUUAAUAUAGAGUGUUCUCCUCUCCUUUUUCUCGCGAAGUCAAUUAUGUAAGGGCGCAAAUCACUUCUCUGGAAUCCUUACUGCCGUGGUACUCCCCUCCGUCAAUUUCAAUAGUCUCGUCAUCCCCAUUGUUGUAUCCAUCACUGAGCCGCUUCCCCUUCCUCCAUCAUUACGCACACCACUUCAUUAGUCAAGAAUCAGAUUUGGGAUUUGUUUUUACCUCGUGCGAACAGAAAAGGAGCAGAGGCAAGAAACACACCUCCACACUAGAAUCAUUGCUGACGUUCCCCUCUACCCGUCAGUACCGGCUGCAUUGUGCUUCCCCUUGCCAGUGGGUCCAUCGCCGAUUUGCUCCCUUCUUCCUCUGGUUCUAUUAUUAGUUAUGCUUAGCUUCUUGGUUCAGAUUAUUGAACACAGGACAAAAAGGAGUGAAGCGAAGGAAAGGCCUACAAGACGCACCGAUACCGCUGUGAAGAGUUGUCGCCGCAACGCGCUGCACCUCCAUUCUGGGUCUUUCCUAUCUGGUUAAAAUAUCAGAUUGAACAGCGUGAUGAAUCCACGAGAAUAUUGUCUGAAAAUGAUUCUCUUGCCCAAUAGCAGCAGAGAAGAUGAAGAGGCAGGCAAUAGAGAAUGUGCUAACUUAUCUGAUUCAACGGCAAAGUGAGGAGCUGCCACCAGACAUCGCUGCACGGAUAAAUUCUUUGGAUAGACAUGACGAAAAAUAGAAAUUAGGAGUCGUCUGACCUUUUAUUUAAAGUAUAUGUUUAGUUGACUAUGCAGCUUUGUUAUCUAGUAAAAUACUUUAUUGAUACUAAUAUAAAUAUGUUAGCUUCUUUCGCAGUUAAA